CUAGCGACUUCAGAGUUUGAUCCUGGCUCAGAUUGAACGCUGGCGGCGUGCAUAACACAUUCAAGUCGAACGGUGAAGUACCUUCGGGUACGGAUCAGGUGGCGGACGGGUGAGUAACGCGUGAAUAACCUGCCUGUAUGUGGGGGAUAACAACCGGAAACAGUUGCUAAUACCGCAUAACGUAUGGAGAUCGCAUGUUUUCUAUACCAAAGAUUUAUUGCAUACAGAUGGAUUCGCGUCCGAUUAGAUAGUUGGUGAGGUAACGGCCCACCAAGUCGACGAUCGGUAGCCGGACUGAGAGGUUGAACGGCCACAUUGGAACUGAGAAACGGUCCAG
rnacentral:rRNA from 1 species